CCGGGGGCAAGAGGUUCGACUCGAGCGAAGCGAGAGAACGUUGCGUCAGCAACGGCCCGCAGUGGCAAGUCAUCCUCUGUCACCGGCAG
rnacentral:sRNA from 1 species